rnacentral:rRNA from 1 species
UACGUAGGGUGCAGGCGUUAAUCGGAAUUACUGGGCGUAAAGCGUGCGCAGGCGGUUUCUUAAGUCAGAUGUGAAAGCCCCGGGCUUAACCUGGGAAUUGCGUUUGAAACUGGGAGACUUGAGUGUGGCAGAGGGGGGUGGAAUUCCACGUGUAGCAGUGAAAUGCGUAGAUAUGUGGAGGAACACCGAUGGCGAAGGCAGCCCCCUGGGUUAACACUGACGCUCAUGCACGAAAGCGUGGGGAGCAAACAGG